ensembl:lncRNA
AUGAGGGGCGAGGCCGUAGACAGCUGCUGGCAGGUCCUGCCCGGAGGACUCCGAGCUCCAGGUGCUGCGGGGGGCAGUGUGGUCAGGGAGGCUGGCCUCGGGGGCCCGAGCGCGGGCAUGCGCACAGCCGGCCGGCCGACCUCGGGCCGCCCACUGGCUGACCCCCCCCCACCCCCCGCCGCAGCCUGGCUCGCAGCCAGGAGAGGCUGCCCGCUGGGAGCUGGACAGGCUGGUCCGAGGCCCGCGGGGCCCGGCGGGAGGAGGCCCAGACAAUGGGCCCUUGUUCCCGGUCCUCAGGCCCCGGGCCAGAGCCUCGGGCGACCCGCCGGCUCCCCGCGCGCCCUCAGCGCCCCCCGGGACCAGGCCCCUCCAGGGAGCCCCGCUGCCCCCACGCCGCCCCAGGAAACAGGAGCCAGCCAGGUCAGCACGCCCUCCCCCCUCUCCCCGUCCAGCGGGCCGGCGCCCGUGGACUGGGUCUGGGCUGCCGGGGGAGGGUGGCUGUUUGACGGCGCCCCCCGCCCCCAUCCUGGCCCCCUCUCUCUCUCGCUCCUAAGCCGGCCCUCGCAGAGGCCCAGCUGGGCAGGAUGUGGGGCGGCCUGCUUUCCGCAGAGCCGGCACCCAGCCCACUCCGCCACCCAGCACAUUCUUUCAUCCAGGCUCUGCGAGCAGCGUGCGUGCACAGUGGCAGCAAGCCCGGGGUCCCCGCAACGGCUCCAGGCCAGCCUCGGGGCACCUGCGGCGACUGCUGCACCUGGACAGGGCCGGCUCACAGCCGGCCGGGCCCGGGGGAGGGCGCCCCUGUCUCACGCCAGGGCUCACUGUGACAGGGCCUGCGGCAGCCUCAGGUUGUCAGGAGCAAGGCCCCUGCCAGCCUCACGGCGGGACGUCCGAUGGGCCCGCGGGGUGGACGGCAGGUGGCAGGGGCCAGCCCAGCAGGAGGAGAGAUCUGCUCCCGUCGUGCACUGCCCAGGGAGGCGGUGGGCUCCUGUCCACAGGGGUACAUGUGGACCGGCUCUCUCCCAGCGCUGGGACUCAGUGGGUCUGUCAGGGUGUUCUGGAUCCCGAGGGUUCCCCACGCGACCCCCUGCCUGGGUCCCAGGGCCGGGCCCACGGCUCAGGAAACGGGUCCAAAUGACAGGUGACACCCCAGGGCGGGGUCAGCAGGGUUCCCAUGGGCUGCAGCUGCAGGCCAGCCUCACACACGACGCCGGCACGGGGUCCCAGAGAGGGACGCUGACCCUCCUUCUGAGGCCACGCAUGCAGCAGGCCAGGGGGGGCCCCCCGAGGGCAACUCCAGGCCCCCGUCCACCACGCUGCCCGGCCUGGGGCGUGGGCCUCACUGCCUCGGGGCACUGCAGGUCCCGGGCCAGGGGCCCAAGCAGGCCGUGGGCUGAGGAAGGCGGCGUUCCUGCAAAGCAGGCCAGUGAGCAGGGCCCGUUCUGGGCCCAAAUCCUGCAGGCCGCUGAGAGUAGAGGGAGCCAGGGCCGCGGCCUCCCUGCCCUGGACGCCCUCCCAACCGCUGCCCCGCCCCAGGCUUGCAGGGCCCUUCCUGGGAUUGGGCUUGUCUUUGGGGGCUGCUCUG